GGCUCAGGAUGAACGCUAGCGGCAGGCUUAAUACAUGCAAGUCGUGGGGCAGCAUGAGUAGCAAUACUUGAUGGCGACCGGCAAACGGGUGAGGAACACGUACACAACCUUCCUCAAGCGGGGAAUAGCCCAGAGAAAUUUGGAUUAAUACCCAUAAUAUAUUUGAUAAGGCAUCUUAUUAAUAUUAAAGCUUCGGCACUUGAUGAUGGGUGUGCGGCUGAUUAGAUAGUUGGCGGGGUAACGGCCCACCAAGUCUACGAUCAGUAGCUGAUGUGAGAGCAUGAUCAGCCACACGGGCACUGAGACACGGGCCCGACUCCUACGGGAGGCAGCAGUAAGGAAUAUUGGACAAUGGACGAAAGUCUGAUCCAGCCAUGCCGCGUGAAGGAUUAAGGUCCUCUGGAUUGUAAACUUCUUUUAUAUGGGACGAAAAAAGGGCAUUCUUGUUCACUUGACGGUACCAUAUGAAUAAGCACCGGCUAACUCCGUG
rnacentral:rRNA from 1 species